AACGAACGCUGGCGGCAUGCCUAACACAUGCAAGUCGAACGAUGCUUUCGGGCAUAGUGGCGCACGGGUGCGUAACGCGUGGGAAUCUGCCCCUUGGUUCGGAAUACCCGCUGGCAACGACGGCUAAUACCGGAUGACGACGUAAGUCCAAAGAUUUGUCGCCGAGGGAGGAGCCCGCGUAGGAUUAGCUAGUUGGUGUGGUAAAGGCGCACCAAGGCGACGACCCUUAGCUGGUCUGAGAGGAUGAUCAGCCACACUGGGACUGAGACACGGCCCGGGCGCCUACGGGAGGCAGCAGUGGGGAAUAUUGGACAAUGGGCGCAAGCCUGAUCCAGCAGUGCCGCGGGAGUGAUGAAGGCCUUAGGGUUGUAAAGCUCUUUUACCCGGGAUGAUAAUGACAGUACCGGGAGAAUAAGCUCCGGCUAACUCCGUGCCAGCCGCCGCCGUAAGAC
rnacentral:rRNA from 1 species